GCCUUUGUUGCCAUAACAACCACAGAGUCCACUCUUCUUUUCCCAACUGUGUGGAGAGGAGGAGACCCAUUCAAAAGAGGCAGGGCCAUGCUCCUCCCAAGCCCCAGAGAGUCACUGCUACCUGGUAACCAGCAGCUGGAUCUCAUGGAGGCACUUUCCCAAAUGAAGCUCCUUUCUCUGUGAUAACUCCAGCCUGUUUCAAGUUGACACACAAAACCAGCCAGUACAGUGUCCCUCCAAGAAGUCCAACACUCAACUAGCAGAAGUUCCAGAAGCAGAGGAGAGCUUAAAGUUGUCAAAGAGACAAUGCAAGAAAACUUCCUAGAAUCAAAGAACAGGGGUUCCCAAAGGUGAGCUCACUGAGCAUCCAACUCAAGGAGAAGAAGAGACGUACCCGAGGGAGGUCACCGCUGUGACACUUAAGCAGCAGGUCAACAGUACUGCUUUGGUAGUCUGUGGGGUGAAUGAAAUGGGAUGGGACAGGGUAACAGUCAUUUACCUAUUCACAAAUUUUAAUGGAGCAUGAAAACCUAUAAUACAACAAUAAAAAGAUCUAAAGAUAAUAAAGCAAAAUUACCUACCAA